rnacentral:rRNA from 1 species
AGAGAUGCUUUUAUUAGAUGAAAACCAAACAGAUUCGUCUGUAUAUUUGGUGACUCGGAAUAACUUUGCGCUGAUCGCAUUGCCUUGUGCACGCGACGUUUCCUUCCAAGGUGUGCCCUAUCMACUGUCGAGUGUCAUAUAGACGCUCACAGUGGUUUUGACGGGUAACGGGGAAUCAGGGUUCGAUUCCGGAGAGGCACCGCUUAAAAACGGCUACCACAUCCAAGGAAGGCAGCAGGCACGCAAAUUACCCAAUGAACGAAGUUCGAGGUAGUGACGAAAAAUAACAAUACAAGACUCUUCCGAGCCUUGUAAUUGAAUGAUACA